rnacentral:rRNA from 1 species
AUUGAACGCUGGCGGCAGGCCUAACACAUGCAAGUCGAGCGAGAGGCGGACGGGUGAGUAAUGUAUCGGGGCUGUCCGUUAGAGGGGGAUAACUACAGGAAACGGUAGCUAAUACAGCAUACGAUAGGAUUAUCCAUAUGGGAUUAGCUAGUAGGUGGGGUAAUGGCUCACCUAGGCGACGAUCCCUAGCUGGUCUGAGAGGAUGAUCAGCCACACUGGAACUGAGACACGGCCCAGACUCCUACGGAGGCAGCAGUGGGGAAUAUUGCACAAUGGGCGCAAGCCUGAUGCAGCCAUGCCGCGUGUAUGAAGAAGGCCCUAGGGUUGUAAAGUACUUUCAGUCGGGAGGCGUUACCGACAGAAGAAGCACCGGCUAACUCCGUGCCAGCAGCCGCGGUAAUUC